rnacentral:rRNA from 1 species
GUGCCAGCCGCCGCGGUAAUACGGAGGGUGCAAGCGUUGUCCGGAAUCACUGGGUGUAAAGGGUGUGCAGGCGGGGCAGCAAGUCGGAUGUGAAAGCCCGUGGCUCAACCACGGAAGCGCCUUCGAUACUGCUGCUCUUGAGUCCCGGAGAGGCUGUCGGAAUUCGUGGUGUAGCGGUGAAAUGCGUAGAUAUCACGAGGAACACCAGAGGCGAAAGCGGGCAACUGGACGGGUACUGACGCUCAGGCACGAAAGCGCGGGGAGCAAACAGGAUUAGAUACCCGGGUAGUCC